rnacentral:rRNA from 1 species
AACGAACGCUGGCGGCAUGCCUAACACAUGCAAGUCGAACGAGUGCCUUCGGGUGAUAGUGGCGCACGGGUGCGUAACGCGUGGGAAUCUGCCCUUAGGUUCGGAAUAACAGCUGGAAACGGCUGCUAAUACCGGAUGAUAUCGCGAGAUCAAAGAUUUAUCGCCUGAGGAUGAGCCCGCGUUGGAUUAGGUAGUUGGUGGGGUAAAGGCCUACCAAGCCGACGAUCCAUAGCUGGUCUGAGAGGAUGAACAGCCACACUGGGACUGAGACACGGCCCAGACUCCUACGGGAGGCAGCAGUGGGGAAUAUUGGACAAUGGGCGCAAGCCUGAUCCAGCAAUGCCGCGUGAGUGAUGAAGGCCCUAGGGUUGUAAAGCUCUUUUACCCGGGAAGAUAAUGACUGUACCGGGAGAAUAAGCCCCGGCUAACUCCGUG